UAAAGGGGACAAAUGUUAAGUAUGGAAUUCAGUAUUGAGGCUUUUAAACAAUAGUUGCCGUUAGGCUGACCUAUUUUUUAUUGAAGAUUUUUAUGACGUACCCAUUUCCAAAACGUCUACUAAGCAGGUCAUUUGGAGGUGUUGCUGGAGAAAUUGCUUGCAACUCGGACAGAUGUUCUGUGACAUCGUAAGAUGGAGCAGUCGGAGCAAGGUUUUGCCCAUGCAGUAGCUUGUCCAUUGGACCCUGUAAUUUUCUCCCUAGGUGAAGCUCGGCUGGAGAUAUACCGGUGGUUUCUUGUACCGCUGAAUUAAUGGCAAACCGUAACUCAGGUUUGUCUGAGGGUGGCAUGCUGUAGUCAUCUUCUGGGUGACUUUCCAUCUUGCACAGAUGUCUUGAAAGACGGCUGAGGUGAACUGUGUGCCUCGGUCAGAGAGGAUGAAAUCUGGUACCCCCCAUCGAGUAAGGAUAUCUUUUCUGAGGUAUGAAGCAACAGCCUGAGCCGUGGCCUUUCGCAAGGGGAACAAUUCAACCCACCGAGAAUAGUAAUCCACGAACACUAGUAGAUAUUCAUGUCGGUAGGAACUGCGAGGCAGUGGUCCCAUGAUAUCUACUCCCAACAUCUCGUUUGGACGACUGGUGGUGGUCUGUUGAAUUUUCCCAGCAGGCUUGCGGUUUUCAUUUUUCAAGGUCUGGCAUUUCAUGCACCUUUUUACAUAUUGCUUUACAGAUGUCCACACGGAGGGCCAGAAAGCGACCUGACGUACCCUCUGAUGUCUACUGCGGAAAGUGGAAAUCCAAAGUCCUCCUUCUGAUUGGAAUUUAAGUGGCAUCCAGGUGCGGAAUACAUUCGGGAUAACGCAUCUGGAGCUUCAUUGAGUUUUCCCUUUCGAUACUCAACCACAAAGUCAAAUCUUUGCAGAUGGAGUGCCCAACGGAUUAGACGUCCCAUGGUUUUUGUGGAAUUCAGGACCCACUGUAGAGCUGAAUGAUCCGUGACUACGGUGAAGAGUUUCGGUUCCAGGUAGCAUUGCCAUUUUUCUAGCGCCCAUACUAUUGCCAGACACUCUUUCUCUGUAACAGAAUAAUUCAUCUCAGCCUUGGUUAAAGUUCGGCUGCCAUAGGCCAUGACUUCUUCCAAGCCAGGUGUUUUCCUUUGCGUCAACACCGCACCGAGUCCUGAAUCACUGGCAUCAGUGUAGACAACAAAAGGAAGUUGAGGAUCUGGAUGACCCAGGAUGGGGGGUGAGGUGAGACAUGCCUUCAAUUUCUCAAAGGAUUGUUGACACUGUGGUGACCACUGGAAUUUUCAUCCCUUCUUCUUCAAAGCAUUUAUAAGCUCAGCUAUAUGAGAGAAAUUGGGCAGAAACCUGUGGUACCAUCCUGCCAACCCGAGAAAUCGUUGAACUUCUUUAAGGUUCCGGGGAACAGGGUAGGAGCGAAUGGCCUCUACUUUGUUGGGGUCAGCAGAGAUGCCUUUUGUGUUUACCACAUGUCCCAGAAAUGUUAAUUCAUGUAGGCAGAAUUUACUUUUUUCAGGUUUAUGGUUAAACCGGCUGUGUGCAAUCGGUCGAAGACAGUCUGAAGAUCAUAGAAGUGUUGGGUGACAGAUGGUGAAUAAAUUAUAAUAUCAUCAAUAUACACAAAACACAUUCUUCCUCGCAGUUCACCCAAGACAGUCUCCAUUAGUCGCUGAAAUGUCACUGGAGCAUUCUUCAGCCCAAAUGGCAUGACAUUAAAUUGGUAUAACCCAGAUGGAGCGAUGAAUGCAGUCUUGGACUUGCUCUCUGGUUCCAUCGUCACCUGCCAGUACCCACUGUUGAGGUCGAUGCUGGAGAAAAUACCUGCACCAGAGAGGGAUUCCAAUAUUUCUGUGAUAUUAGGCAGAGGAUAGGCAUCUCUCUCAGUGACAGCAUUGACCCUCCUAUAGUCUACACAGAAUCUCUGGCUGCCAUCUUUUUUGGGACCAGGACAAUAGGGACGCUGUUUGAUGGGUACAGGAUGGACAGUAUAAAGACAAUGCUGGAGUACUGUUGUUCUUCCGAGCUGGAGGGUACAGACUUGAGGAUUGUUCUCUAAGAGGUGGAGCAGUUGGCACUUCCUCUCGGGUGAUGCUGGAUACAUCUAGCGGGAAUACUAGCUCGUCCAGGCUGAAAAGGAUAAUUCUUGUUGGGAAUUGACUUGAAGGAAUAUUCUCCAUCUGCUACAUUGAUCUGAAGACCACUGGCACAGCGGUCUCACCAUUUGCCAAGUAGAGUGGACCAAGGGCCCAUGCCCGGAGUGGAUCAGAGGAUGCAAGCUCUGUCCAUAAGCUCUCGUGUAACAGAGUAUAGCUUGCACCGGUGUCGACUAUAGCCUUUCCUGUCCAUCCGCCAAUGGUAAUCGGGACAACCAACUGUUGAGGUAUACGCUCACAUUUAGAAGUAAAAGAUGCCGUCCCCGUAGAUGGCUGGAAUGGAGGUGUGACAGACAAGGCGUUAUUUGAUGGUGCUCCUGUUUUUUGUGCUGGAAAAUUUCGCUUGUUUCCUGCAGGAUUUUGAGUCGAUGUGAAAGGUGAAGUGGAGUAUUGUGGACAGUUUCCAGGGGAAUGCUGACCUUUACAUCUCCAGCAUUGGACGGCAGGUCUUUCCAUUUGACGGUUAGGGCUCUUUCAAGGCGUCGCUUACGGCAUUCAAUUGGACGCUACAUUGAGUGAUCUCCUGAAAAAGUUGGCCACAAUCCUUUUGCGUGAUGUCCUGCAUUUUCUGGAUGUCUUUCUGCAGCUCUAGUUGGAAUUGUUCCACCAUAAAUCGGACUUCAGAGAUUAAUGUGUGCUCACUUUUCUGCAGUUCUUCUGUCACCAUCACUUUCAUGGCUUUUGUCAGCUGAUCAGUGUCCUCUUCAUCAUGUUGUUUUUUUAGCAGUAAUCGUGGCCUGAAGCUGCUGAUGGUUGGAUUUUAUCUUAGCAGUUAAGGUUUCGAUCUUGGCAUCCUGCUGUGAAGUGGUAGUUUCAAGUCCCUGGGUGUUGGGAGAAAUGCAGGCAAGUCCUGCGGCGUUCCUGACGGUGUAAAUUCCGUGGAAGUACACAACUGCAAGUUAACAGUCGGUGGAGGAGCCCUUUCUCCUGGAAGUGGAGUGGAAAUCUGCACAUGGGUUCUUGUAGUAGGACUGCGAAACUCUGUCGGUGUGGUGUAGAAAGUGGGAACAGGAGGUGGUUGUCGGAGCUGCUGUUGGGUUUGCUGCACCAGGGGCCAGUUUGGUGUGGCAAUGUCUGGAGGAUCAAUUUCCACAAAAGUGGAUUGUGGGGCAGGGGUAUGGGCCAUAGUUGACUUGUAUGCGUGAAUAUGGCAACGGUCAAUUGUGAAAUGUGGAAAAAAAUAAAAUAUCAGA